ensembl:lncRNA
GACGCAUAGACAUGCUGACGAUCAUGGCCAUGCGCUGGAACCAACAAAAGUUUGACAACUUGGCUUCUACCCUUGCCCGCCGAUAUCGGAAGGUAAAGACACCAGUUUUCCCUUAUGCAAAAUGCAUAGCGAUAUUGUAAAAUAAAGCAAAUAAAUGGCAUAUAUCACAAAAAUAUAGAGAACACUUGCCCAGAUAUUCUUUAAUAUAUAUUAAAUAUACGGAUGGUUGCAUGUGUAGUGUCAAUUGUAUUUUUUAGUGUCUUGAUAUAAAAUAUUACAUGUUCAUACCACAUAUAUUGAUAGUCCACGUAUAUACGAAUAUACUGUAUAUUUAAUUAGUGUUGUAUGUGGUUUUCUAAUAGUGAAGGUACUUCACAAUCCUUAUCAACAAUAGUCAAAGUGGUAGGCGUUUUCCUCAUUGUCAUUUAUGUUUGAAGGCCACAAUAGCCCUGCAAUGCCAGUUGCAUAACCUGGAGGCCAUGAAAACGGAAAUGGACGUCUCAGACAAUCAACUGGAGAGGUGGAUCAUUGAUAUCAAUGAGUGGGCAGAAGCAACAACAUCCCCAAAUGAUGCUGAUGUUGCCGCUGUUGCCAGCCGAAUUGAGGAGCUGGUGGCAAGUGUUAAGAGGAGGUCCCAGCGUCUUUACAAGGAUAGUGACGGAUGCAAAGGGACGUGCCCGAAUCCGCCGAAAGAUCAGGGAGGAAAAAUCUUAAAUUCUGUAGUGGAAAAAGUACAACACCUUGGUUCCUAAUGCAGAAAAACUGUCAUUGGACACCAUUCUAUCUGAUGAGAUUGUUUGGCCAUGGCAGCUUACACACGGUGGUAUGUACACAAUUCCAUUGUCACAUAGUGGGACAAAAUCUGUCAUGCCUCGAUUUUACACCUGAAAAUCUCUAAAUACUAAUCUCAAAUACAACCGACUUAUGUUUCAUCUAUGUAUUCCAGACUCUGUUGAUCUAAGGACAAAGAGGAAGGCGUUCGACAUUGUGAUGGCAGUAAGGAGACUUGAGGAGGAGAAGAGGAUUCUUAUUGCAGAGAUGAACAAGCAUUGGAAGUCUCUUUGCUCCCGUGCAGACACCCUGAAGCAGAUGUCAUCCAAGCUUUCUAAUGUGACAUCAGGUGAGACUUGGGGCCUGCUUCAAGAUGGUAUCCGAGGUCUACAAAGCUUGACGAUGAAGAACAAGCGAGCAAGCAACAGCCUGGCAAAGCAUGCAAAGAAAUAUUAUGUUCAAGUUCUGACUGAAACAGAAAUUAACUUUGAUAGUGAUUCUGAGGAAUACCAUACCAGUAGUGACUCUGAGCAAGAUUAAACAUGGCCAGAGUCCUUUUUUUAUGCUGUUGUGUGCUGGGGAGGCAGCAUUAAAGAAGAGGGCCGCUGGGACAGGUUGUUAAGGAAAGCUGGCUCUGUGUUUGGCAUGGAGCUGGAGUUAAUUAUUUAACAAACUGAGGAUAAUUUGCAGUAGCAGUCUUCUGUCAUGCUCAACAUUGAGGAGGUCCUUUGUCCCCAGGGCAUACCAGCAACUCAAUGUCACAGAAAAGGUUAGGGGAGAAAUUGACUUUUCAGCAUGAGUCUCACCCUGCGCCAACCAUUACAUCGCUUUGUCUAUUGUCUAGUAUCCACUAUCCAUUUGACUGUCUUACAGGCUACAUUAGCCCCUCUACACAUUCUGAACUGUGGUUUCAACAUUUACCCCUGUUGGCUUGUAUAAUCUUUUUUUCUUUUUUUAUAUAUAUUUAAGUUUCUGUUUUUUUCUAUCUAUUUUAACUUCUUUGUAUUGUUUUUUUGUUAAGCAAUACUAUUAUGCUCAGACUCUUUUUUUCCAUAGUCAUAUUAAACAUGCACAGCUUUGCACUGAUUAAAUCCCUGCACUGUUUACUUUUUGCACUACCACCACUGCAAAUCACUCUAUAGUUGCCCAUCAUGUAUCACAGGGUCAGUCCCUACCAGGCCUUUGUAAUCACUUGACAUGCUCUUCACUUUUUUUACAUUUGUGAUUUUUUUGUUAUGUGUCUGAGUUGUGUGUUUUUUUGUGGUUGUAUAAG